rnacentral:lncRNA from 1 species
ACACAUCUAACCACUCUUCAGCUGAUAUCCACUUGCUGACAAAUGAAUCUCUCUGGCCCCUGGACUGUGCCCUGAAACACAGCUUAAAACAGCAGAAUGAACAGUAAUCCCAGAGAUCCUGAGAUGAGAAAAGGGUGUUUGACUUAUUCAAAGAAGACCAAGGAAGCCCAAAGACCAGAGAAGAGUGCAGGAAAGGGGCGGCGGUCUGAGAUGCAGUCAGAGCAGUGGCAAGCCCCCAGAGUCUGUGGCAAAGACUUCAGGUUUCAUCCUGAAGAGGAAGACAGGUCUUUGGAGAGUUUUGAUCAAGGAAGUGAGAUGAAAUAUCUUAGGCUUACAAAGAACUACUCUGACAUCUAAAUGGAAAAUGGACUGAUGAAGCAAAAGAAGCCACAAGGAAGCCAGUUCAGAGGCUAUUGAAAUGCUCCAGGCCGCUGUGGUUCGUCUUCUGCCUGGGAACUGGAUAAAAACAUCAGUGAAUACCCCAAAGAUUUUCAAAAAUGCUUGUUGAUAAAAUGAAGUCAGAAUGUGAGAUGAGCCCUUCCACCUGAGUGAUGUUGGUCUUGGCUGUGUGAUUUGCUUUGGCUGAUGAUAAGUUGAUGGAAGUGAUAGUAAGACAAUGCUGAGCCUCAUCCUCGGAAGUAUCUCUGCCUUCACCUGGCUUUGUGCACCACUGCCCUGGCUUUGAGAAGAACAUGAGCCCAGUAAAUUGUUAGUCCAGGAAGAAUGAGAGAGAAAGUCCUGAGGCAGAGAAGUGGAGAGAAGUUGCUGCUUGAGCUUGAGAAAGAAUGGUGGCAGAGUACAUGCAUGGAAGUGCUACCAUAGCUGCUCUGAAAUCAGAGGAAAGUGGAAUUAUAAGAAGACCCCAUCUGACAAGGCUCAUAAAGGAGAGCAACUCUUAUGGAAUACAUCCAAGAUAUAUACGUCUUUGAAGAAAGACAUCACUCAACUGUGAAAGAUCACCAUGACCCCUGCUUUAAUUUCAUCAAAAAACUUAGUCCAUCAGCUCAGUUACCCUUUAGCCUUGCAUGGGAAUUGACUCAGAGCUUCUGCAAGAUCAGGCCCUAUAUUAGGUAUUGAGGGUUCAGGGAUGAACUAAGCUGAUCUGGUUCCUGCUCUCUAGGCUGUAGAAGAUGGCAAGUGCUGUGGACUUCAAAGAAAAGAUUUCUGAAGUGUCAUGUUAUGACAAUUGUGAUGCUUCAAACUAUGUUGACUAUUCAUUUACAGCAUAAAGAAGAGUGAGCCACUUUAUCACUGCAGUAAUUAUAUUUUAAAAAUAAAGAAAAUAAAACAAAUGGAGUUUCCCACCCAAUCCAUGGAGACACAGACACGAAGUCUUACUAUAGAUGUGUGGCCAAUCCUUACAUUGCUUUUAUUACAAGCCUGGAAAUGACAAUAAAAUACAUGAACUUGAGAGUAUAUA